rnacentral:tRNA from 1 species
GGGCCCGUGGCUCAGCCUGGGAGAGCGCCGGCCUUAUAAGCCGGAGGUCCCGGGUUCGAAUCCCGGCGGGCCCA